rnacentral:misc_RNA from 1 species
AAGUCGUAACAAGGUUUCCGUAGGUGAACCUGCGGAAGGAUCAUUAAAACAUAAUCCUUUUGGAUUUUACAUCCGAAACCACAUACUGUGCACUGUAUACUGUUAGUUGCCCUUUGGUGCUUUGUUUUCGUGUUGUCAGUUCUUCUGUUCCAAGCAAAAAAACGUUUGGGAUUGUUUAUGCUGAUGAUUCAUCUGAGCAUCGGAGGGUAACAAAUUUAUUCAAACCUUUACUUGUCAUUUUACAACAAUGUCUGAAGUCAAAACUUAUUUUCGGUUGAAAAGCUGAAAAUAUAAAAACAUAAAUUUAAAAACAACUUUCAACAACGGAUCUCUUGGCUCCCA